CCUACGGGUGGCAGCAGUGAGGAAUAUUGGGCAAUGGACGAGAGUCUGAACCAGCCAAGUAGCGUGAAGGAUGACUGCCCUAUGGGUUGUAAACUUCUUUUAUAAAGGAAUAAAACGAGGCACGUGUGCCUUUUUGCAUGUACUUUAUGAAUAAGGAUCGGCUAACUCCGUGCCAGCAGCCGCGGUAAUACGGAGGAUCCGAGCGUUAUCCGGAUUUAUUGGGUUUAAAGGGAGCGUAGAUGGGUUGUUAAGUCAGUUGUGAAAGUUUGGGGCUCAACCGUAAAAUUGCAGUUGAUACUGGCAGUCUGGAGUGGAGUAGAGGUAGGCGGAAUUCGAGGUGUAGCGGUGAAAUGCUUAGAUAUCACGAAGAACGCCGAUUGCGAAGGCAGCUUACUAAACUGUGACUGACAUUGAUGCACGAAAGUGUGGGUAUCAAACAGGAUUAGAUACCCUUGUAGUC
rnacentral:rRNA from 1 species